rnacentral:tRNA from 11 species
CGGGGUGUAGUAUACCGGUAGUACGUGCGCUUCGGGUGCGCAAAGACGGAGUUCAAUUCUCCGCACCCCGACCA